rnacentral:lncRNA from 1 species
UAUAAGAAAAAUGCCAGUCAUACACUCCAUUUGGGGUGUUUACCUUACACCUUACCAAUCCUAUAUAUAGGGUCUGUUUGUUUGGGUGAAAGUAGAAAGGGUGAUGUAGUUUUUGGUCGUAAACGAUCAGUUUUGCUGUUUGUUUGAUCGUAAUAAUUAAAGAUAUGGUCGAAACUCAAGUUAUCCAAAACAACAUAAUUGACUUCGGCCCACGCGGGCCGAAGUCAAUUAUGUGAAGAAAGGUGAAGGAAAAAAAUAAAAUAAUAAUAAGUAAUAGUAGUUAUAUUUAAAUAUAUUUAAUUAGGGCAUUAAUUACUUUUUUUAUUUAGUUUGCAUAUUAAAAUAUGAUAAAAUUUGAUUAGUUAAGUUUUAUUAUUUUCUUUAUUUAGUUUAGACAUUUAAAAUAUGAUAAAAAUUGAUUAGUUAAGUAUUUAUAUAUUUUCUUACUUCAUAAUUUUAUUGUUGUAUUAUUAUAAUUUAUGUAUUAAAAAAUAAUUUAGUUGUUUUAAAUUAAAAUUUUUAAUUUUAUACAUAAUUAUAUUAGUUUUAUUUAUUAUAUUUAAAAUUUAUUAUUUAUUAAGUUAUUUAUUAUUUAUAUAUAAAUUAUAGUUUUAUAUUAUUUACUUUCUGCCAAACAAACAAUAAAACUGAAGAAACUUCACUUCCAUAACUAUAAAACAAAUUAACAGCAAAAGAGAAGUAGCUUUAAUCGAACUCCAUUUCAACCCAAAGUCAAUUUUGGUAAAACAAAUAGGCCCAGAGGCAAGGUGUUUCCACCAUCUCAUCGAUGUGACUGGUAGAAAAAUUUCACCUAUUGGAAAGAUAAGAUGUAUAAUUUAUAUAUAUAUAUUUUUUACAUAUAUGA